GCAGCGAGUUGGGCAGCCGGAUGCCCUCGCCGCUGAUGACGGCGAUCACCGACGGCUCCAGCUCGGUCCUGACCUCGAGGUA
rnacentral:tRNA from 1 species